UCCCCCCUCCAAAGGAAAGCAAAGAACAAAGUUACAGAACUGCAGGAGCUUUGAUAGUGUCUGUGGGAGGAGGGGCUGCUAGUGCAGCUGUAGAGCAGGACGUAGGAAAGUGAAAGUAAUUGCUUUCCUUCAAACCAUGUGACCGCUUUCCUCCAAACAUCGCACGCAUGGGCAGAGAGGGGAGGGGGAGUGUACAGCUAGAUUCUCAUGUCGUGGUGCGACUUGGCUUUUCAUUACAGAGCGGCUGCCUCCAAGCACACAGAACAUUAAAGUAAAUUUUUUGGUGGACAAAUGGAUACGGAGCACAGAAUUCAUACACCCUAACAGUAAAAUGUAUUUUUGAUAGAGGUUACACUGCUGACAGGAAGUUGUGUUUCAUUAUAACAGAAGAAGAACAAUUUACAUUAAAGUGUACAGAUGGAAUUCACUAGUGUCAGUAUGUGAAUGGCUUACAGAAGAACUCUUCUUAAAUGUAAACACAAGCCAAAUAUACAAAGAACCUAUUCCUGAAUUGCUAAGAAGAUGCCAGAACUUUACAUGAGAAAACGGUGUUGUAUUCUUUUAAGCCAAGGACAACCCUACAGUUACCUGAGCUCACUGAAAAAUGCACAGGGGCUGCUGCGACCUAACAGUACGGUAAGUGAAUGUUCUUUCUCGUAGACUAAGAUUAGUCUUUAAAAAAGCAGGGUUAUUGGUUGCCGGAUGCCUUUGGGAACUGAUGUCAACUACUAGACCUAAUACACAUACUUCUGGGGUUAAUUUCCCAGGUAACAGAAGUUGGUCAUUAGGGAAUGUUCAUCUUCCAAACUCUUUUUUUCAGUUUUUUUUACCAUUCUCCCAACAUUUUAAUUUAAAAUUUAGGGGGUUAUUUAUCAAAAUCUGAAUUUUUCAGAUUUUUUAAAUAAAAAAAGUUAGACCGAACUAAAAGAAAGGAACACCGGCACAUCAAGGAAAACCCUUGCUCGUUUUGGGGCGUUGCAUCCGCAAUAAAUGAGCAAGAGGUUUUUCUGCUAGCAUUACUCAUGAUGUGCCGGUGUUCCUUUCUUUUACACUGAAUUUGAGGCUGCCAAUUCCUCUUCCACUGAGCACCUGGGAUUCACAUUCAUUCGGACAGCCAGGGUAAGCAAGGGUAUUUUUCCUUUUUCCAGUCCGAACUAAAAUCCAUGAUUUGCCCUUAUUUAUCAACAUCAGGGAAUAGCCAUAAGUUUUUCAGAUUGUCGUGUGAAAAAACAGAUUUUUUUUUCGUGUUCGGCGCCCCAAAAAUCACAAAAACCUUGAGUUUUUGUGGAAAAUCCAGUGUCAAACUCUGAAAAUUCAGAACAUUUCGUGAGGGUUAAAA